UACGUAGGGGGCAAGCGUUGUCCGGAAUCAUUGGGCGUAAAGAGCGUGUAGGCGGCUCGGUAAGUCCGCUGUGAAAGUCCAGGGCUCAACCCUGGGAUGCCGGUGGAUACUGUCGGGCUAGAGUCCGGAAGAGGCGAGUGGAAUUCCUGGUGUAGCGGUGAAAUGCGCAGAUAUCAGGAGGAACACCCGUGGCGAAAGCGGCGAGCUGGACCACUACUGACGCUGAAGAACGAAAGCUAGGGGAGCAAACAGG
rnacentral:rRNA from 1 species